AAGCUCGUAGUUGAAUUUCGGGAUCAAUGUUUCGGUCAUGCCGUUGGUAUGUACUGAUAUUAUUGAUUUCUCACCUUCUAAAGAACCGUAAUGCCAUUAAUUUGGUGUCACGGGGAAUUAGGACUGUUACCUUGAAAAAAUUAGAGUGUUUAAAGCAGGCUCACGCUUGAAUACAUUAGCAUGGAAUAAUGAAAUAGGACAUCCGAUUCUAUUUUGUUGGUUUCUAGGAUCGAUGUAAUGAUUAAUAGGGAUAGUUGGGGGCAUUAGUAUUCAAUUGUCAGAGGUGAAAUUCUUGGAUUUAUUGAAGACUAACUACUGCGAAAGCAUUUGCCAAGGAUGUUUUCAUUAAUCAAGAACGAAAGUUAGGGGAUCGAAGACGAUCAGAUACCGUCGUAGUCUUAACCAUAAACUAUGCCGACUAGGGAUCGGAUGAUGUUAAUUUUUUAAUGACUCAUUCGGCGCCUUACGGGAAACCAAAGUGUUUGGGUUCCGGGGGGAGUAUGGUCGCAAGGCUGAAACUUAAAGGAAUUGACGGAAGGGCACCACCAGGGGUGGAGCCUGCGGCUUAAUUUGACUCAACACGGGGAAACUUACCAGGUCCAGACAUAGCAAGGAUUGACAGACUGAGAGCUCUUUCUUGAUUCUAUGGGUG
rnacentral:rRNA from 1 species